rnacentral:sRNA from 1 species
GCGCGGGGGCGCGCCUGCCCACCGCUCCCGGCAGGGCUUUUGGUGGCCAUGGGGGAUAACGGGCGUUGACUCACCCGGGCGGGGCUCCGGGAGUUGCACAGCCCAGGGCCCUGUGCCUCCCUCUACAGCCCUCAGGGAGCUCAUUGAGGAGCUGGUCAACAUCACCCAGAACCAGAAGGCCCCGCUCUGCAAUGGCAGCAUGGUGUGGAGCAUCAACCUGACAGCUGGCGUGUACUGUGCGGCCCUGGAAUCCCUGGUCAACGUGUCAGGCUGCAGUGCCAUCGAGAAGACCCAGAGGAUGCUGAGCGGAUUCUGCCCGCACAAGGUCUCAGCUGGGCAGUUCUCCAGCUUGCAUGUCCGAGACACCAAAAUCGAGGUGGCCCAGUUUGUAAAGGACCUGCUCUUACAUUUAAAGAAACUUUUUCGCGAGGGACGGUUCAACUGAAACAUCGAAAGCAUCAUUAUUUGCAGAGACAGGACCUGACUAUUGAAGUUGCAGAUUCAUUUUUCUUUCUGAUGUCAAAAAUGUCUUGGGGAGGUGGGAAGGAGGGUUAGGGAGGGGGUAAAAUUCCUUAGCUUAGACCUCAGCCUGUGCUGCCUGUCUUCAGCCUAGCCGACGCCAGCCUUCCCCUUGCCCAGGGCUCACCCUGGUGGGCCUCCUCCGUCCAGUGCCCUGAGCUCGGUGGACCCAGGGAUGACAUGUCCCUACACCCCUCCCCUGCCCUAGAGCACACUGUAGCAUUACAGUGGGUGCCCCCCUUGCCAGACAUGUGGUGGG